rnacentral:lncRNA from 1 species
UCAGAUUAGGUUAAAAAAGAAAGAGAGAGAUGAAGAUAUACAUACGGUGAGAGGGUCGCCGAUGUAAUGAUGCCAGGUUUCGGCGCAGGGUAUGCGAUGGAGGCGAGACACACUCCCAGAAGGAACGAGAAAAUAGAUGGAGGUCGAUACAGGGCGAUCCACUUUGUAUUCGGGGGGGAGCUGAGAGGUCGAAAGCUGGACGGAAUGGUCUCGGAAUGUCUCCACGUAAAACCCACCUUCUGGGUGAGGUUGCAGAUUCAACUUCUUCGCUAUCUCUGAUGCCCUCAAAC